CAACCCUCGACCUUAGUUGCCAGCAUUCAGUUGGGCACUCUAAGGUGACUGCCGGCUAAAAGUCGGAGGAAGGUGGGGAUGACGUCAAAUCAUCAUGCCCUUAUGACCUGGGCUACACACGUGCUACAAUGGGCGGUACAAAGGGUCGCGAACCCGCAGGGGGAGCCAAUCCCAAAAAGCCGCUCUCAGUUCGGAUUGCAGGCUGCAACUCGCCUGCAUGAAGCCGGAAUCGCUAGUAAUCGCGGAUCAGCAUGCCGCGGUCGAAUACGUUCCCGGGCCUU
rnacentral:rRNA from 1 species